rnacentral:rRNA from 1 species
GACGAACGCUGGCGGCGUGCUUAACACAUGCAAGUCGAACGGGCCUGCCUGGCUUUGGUUGGGUGGGUGAGUGGCGAACGGGUGAGUAACACGUGAGUAACCUGCCCUCUUCUCUUGGAUAACUGCUUGAAAGGGCGGCUAAUACGGGAUGUUCUGGCUGCCUCGCAUGGGGUGGUUUGGAAAGAUUCGGCCUGGUUUUAGUUGUUUUGGUGGGGGAUGGGCUCGCGGCUUAUCAGCUUGUUGGUGGGGUGAUGGCCUACCAAGGCGGUGACGGGUAGCCGGCCUGAGAGGGUGGACGGUCACACUGGGACUGAGACACGGCCCAGACUCCUACGGGAGGCAGCAGUGGGGGAUUUUGCACAAUGGGCGCAAGCCUGAUGCAGCGACGCCGCGUGAGGGAUGGAGGCCUUCGGGUUGUGAACCUCUGUCGCCGGUGAUGUAGGCUCUGCUUUGUGGGUGG